UACAGGGGGUGCAAACGUUGCUCGGAAUUAUUGGGCGUAAAGCGCGUGUAGGCGGUUGCCAAAGUCGGGUGUGAAAGCCUUGAGCUUAACUCAAGAAAUGCACUCGAUACUUGGUGACUAGAGGACCGGAGAGGAUAGUGGAAUUCCCAGUGUAGUGGUGAAAUACGUAGAGAUUGGGAAGAACACCAGUGGCGAAGGCGGCUAUCUGGACGGUUUCUGACGCUAAGACGCGAAAGCGUGGGGAGCAAACAGG
rnacentral:rRNA from 1 species